GCGUCCAUGUUCAGAUCAGAAGCUUGGAAGCACCUGUUAUGACCUGUUACUGAAACUAGCUAAGCCCAAGUUUUAAGCUAAUGGUUAUUUAGAAUAACUUUGCUUUCUCUCAAGAAGCUCUCAGUGUGCACGACUCAUUGUGAGAUACAGAUUGAACGUUAACGCAUUUCCGUAUGCCUCGCUUGAUUUUUGCAGCCCAAGAGGAAGUGUGACUUGGUGUAAACUCAUCUAUUCAUAGGAAAAUUCUUUACUUCUACUCGAAAGUUGCGUUGAGUGAGGCCUAGACCAUGGAGUAUGAAGGAAGCUGGCCAAAGGAUGCUCCAUUAUAAGAUUUUUAGGAAAACCUACUAGGACGAUGACAACCUGCAGUCCAAAAUUUCUAAUCAAAAUAACAGGUUCUUUUUGUAGAACAUUGUCUUACAUCCUCAGUAGCAGAAGUACUUUGGCUGAAUUAUUCUCUACCAGGAAAGGAAAAAACAAAAUAUCUGGUUGAGGAAUGAUUUUUACUCUACUGUUUUUUGCUCUUCAGGGAAAAUUAGGCAAAUUCUCUGGGAAUGGCCAUUGCAGGAACAUUCCUCUCUUUUUGCUCUGAGAUCAUACUAUUUUUCUAAACUGAGUGUCUGCUGAACUUGACUUGAAAGGAGAAACCAGACUAAAUAUAGCUAAGUUGAUUUUCGUCUUGAAAUCCGGAGGAAAAUCUUGUUUCCCCUCAAGAAAAGUUAGAGAUUAAUGAUUGGAAAUCCUCGGUUUUCAGCAGGGAAUAUUUCCAAGGAAAUUAGAAAGGAAUAAGUUAUUAUCAGGGAAUGGAAAAAAUCGUCAAUUCUAGACACUAAAUUUUAAAUAAAACUGCUAAAAUGUCACUUUAAAACUUUUUAGGCGUAAAAAAAUCUACCAAAAAUUUGAAGAUAAACUGAUAGUUGGAUGGAAUUAAGCUAAACCGUCACAUUACAUGCAGUGUUUCAAAAUCUCAGCUCCUGUUCUAAAUUUUUGGAAAAAAACCAACUGACAUUUAUGCUUGAAAUUUUGUGGAACUUAAUUUCAUGAAAGAAAGAAAAUUUACAACAAAUUCGAGUCGGUGUUGGUUGAUUUCCCUGUACAAAAUUAAAAUAUGAGAUGGGAUUCUGAAACUCCACUUGUGAAUGUGACUAUUAUGCUUGACUCUCGCUAGUUAGUCUUUUUUGAAAAACUAAAAUGUGAGUGGACAUUCACAACAUAACACUUCGAUUUACAAUUUUAUUUUCACUUUAGUCAUUGAUAUAUAUUCCACGGUUACAUCAUACUUAUAGUCUUUGCUCUUCCUUUCAUGACACUAAGUAAGUAACCAGUUGUUCUGCUUUCUGAUGUGGUAAAAAAAUUGAACCCUCCCGAAGCUUUCUAUCUUAUGAUUGUUUCCCUUGCCAGUGUUAUUUCCUUUUAUUAACAUUUCUGACAAAUGGAAAUUAUGUGGAAUUUAAUCUUUUAUAAAAAAUGUUUCUGUGUAAGUAGCCCUUUCUGUUUUUUCUUCACUCUGUUUACUUUUUAUAUCUCAGUGUUACUCAUGCACAGUUAUUUUAGUCAAAUCUUACAUAGAUUUCUAAAUGCAUCCAUAAAUCAAAUAUAUAAAAUGAUUAUUAAAUUGUCUAUAAAAUAGAAAAUUCUGUGUUUUCACUUUAUUGAUUCAUUGCAAGAAUUAAAAUGUUAUCAUCAACUCAUUCUUUAAUACUUUUGCAUAAUUGUCUUGCAUUUAAAAGAACAGGAAACUUACCUCCA